rnacentral:rRNA from 1 species
AUUGAACGCUGGCGGCAUGCUUUACACAUGCAAGUCGAACGGUAACAGGUCUUCGGAUGCUGACGAGUGGCGAACGGGUGAGUAAUGCAUCGGAACGUGCCCAGUCGUGGGGGAUAACGCAGCGAAAGCUGUGCUAAUACCGCAUACGAUCUAUGGAUGAAAGCGGGGGACCUUAGGGCCUCGCGCGAUUGGAGCGGCCGAUGUCAGAUUAGGUAGUUGGUGGGGUAAAGGCUCACCAAGCCAACGAUCUGUAGCUGGUCUGAGAGGACGACCAGCCACACUGGAACUGAGACACGGACCAGACUCCUACGGGAGCAGCAGUGAGGAAUAUUGGUCAAUGGGUGCAAGCCUGAACCAGCCAUCCCGCGUGAAGGACGACUGCCCUAUGGGUUGUAAACUUCUUUUGUAUAGGGAUAAACCUACCCUCGUGAGGGUAGCUGAAGGUACUAUACGAAUAAGCAACCGGCUAACUCCGUGCCAGCAG